rnacentral:rRNA from 1 species
GAUGAACGCUGGCGGUAUGCCUAACACAUGCAAGUCGUACGAGAGUUUUUAACUCUAGUGGCGGACGGGUGAGUAACACGUGAGAAUUUGCCUUUAGGAGGGGGAUAACAAUUGGAAACGAAUGCUAAUACCCCAUAUGCUUUUGAGUGAAAUGGAUUUUAUCCGCCUAGAGAGAAGCUCGCGGCUGAUUAGCUUGUUGGUAAGGUAAGAGCUUACCAAGGCGACGAUCAGUAUCUGGUUUGAGAGGACGAUCAGACACACUGGAACUGAGACACGGUCCAGACUCCUACGGGAGGCAGCAGUGGGGAAUUUUCCGCAAUGGGCGAAAGCCUGACGGAGCAAUACCGCGUGAGGGAAGACUGCCUAUGGGUUGUAAACCGUC